CAAACUUGAAUGAAAAGAAAUGAACCUCAUGUUUAUAGCAGCUUUAUUCAUAAUUGCCAAAACUUGGAAGCAACCAAGAUGUCCUUGAGUAGGAGGGAUCUUGCAAAGCUGGGGUUACACAUCAAGAUGGAAUUGAAGGAAACAAUUUCAAUGCAAGGAACUGGAGAGAGAUCACAAGGUUAUAAGAUUCAUAUGACAACCGUGUCACCUAAAGCAAGCAAAACAAGCUCUUGUAUGACAGUUGGGACACCUGCUGAUGACUGGCACGUAGGCUGAAAUUUCCACUAAGGGAAAUCGCUAUAAAAAUUGAUGAGAAAUAUUAAUCUCCUUGAAAUUAUUGUUAUGGAAGUAAAACUAUAUUUGAUCUAAAGAUAUACUAAAGAAAAAGAAUGAAAUAGAAAUCUGAAGCAGUUAGGAGAAGAUAGAAGAACCAUAUGAGAGGAUAUUUGGCAUCACAUUUCUUUAUAUGUAAACAAAACUCUGUGUGGAUGAGGACAGGACAGCAUUUUUCCCACUUAUUUUGUAACUUUUUUUAGUUCUC
rnacentral:lncRNA from 1 species